AUUGAACGCUGGCGGCAUGCCUUUCACAUGCAAGUCGAACGGUAACAGGCCGCAAGGUGCUGACGAGUGGCGAACGGGUGAGUAAUGCAUCGGAACGUGCCCGGUCGUGGGGGAUAACUGCUCGAAAGAGCAGCUAAUACCGCAUACGACCUGAGGGUGAAAGCGGGGGACCGUAAGGCCUCGCGCGAUUGGAGCGGCCGAUGUCAGAUUAGCUAGUUGGUGGGGUAAAGGCCUACCAAGGCAACGAUCUGUAGUUGGUCUGAGAGGACGACCAGCCACACUGGGACUGAGACACGGCCCAGACUCCUACGGGAGGAAGCAGUGGGGAAUUUUGGACAAUGGGCGCAAGCCUGAUCCAGCAAUGCCGCGUGCAGGAAGAAGGCCUUCGGGUUGUAAACUGCUUUUGUCAGGGAAGAAAUCUUCUGGGCUAAUACCCCGGGAGGAUGACGGUACCUGAAGAAUAAGCACCGGCUAACUACGUGCCAGCCGCCGCCGUAACAC
rnacentral:rRNA from 1 species